UCAGAGGAAUCAGGGGAAGGAAAAACGUGGCACAGGGUUUCACCGGUUCGGAUCCUGGGUGUGGACAUGGCACCGCUCAUCUGGCCAUGCUGAGGCGGAAUCCCACAUGCCACAACUAGAAGGACCCGCAACUAAACCUGGGUUUGCUUCCUGCUACCAGCAGCAGUGUGGGAUGUGGCAGCAUCUUCCCUCUCCCCUUCUGUGCCCCGACUUCCUCUCCUCUCCCUGUCCCGGAGAAGACUGCCUGUGGAUCCUCCACAUUCAGACCGAGGAAAGGAAGAGAAGCAAUAAGCAGGAAAGGCCCGAUGUCACUGAUAAUACCGCGACCUGGUCUAAUGCUCUCAUGGCAGGACUUAGAUCUGUCUGUAGUAGAGCACUUUCAAGGUUCCUCAGAAAUGUCCUCAUGGAAAAAUUCUAAAUACAAUUCCUCUGAGAGUGGAACUGGAAGAAUUUACCUCAAAUUUAAGACUUAGUGCUUAACCUUGUAGCAUCACAAAAGAUUUCAAUAAGUCUUCAAUCUGACUUUGAUUUCAAUAAGUGUGAAGGUGACACUCAGAACUAGGUGGACUUUUGUGACUAUUUCCAUCACUAGAGUUCAGUGGGUGUGAUGCUAGGUGACUUCUGAGGACAAGUCAUACAAGGCCGGGCACCUGCCAUGUUGUUCACCAGAACUCUUGCACUGGAACCUUGAGUUGUCCUGUGAGGAUCUGACAGCCCCGUGGGCUGCCUCCACAGAGAGACUGCAUGGAGAAGCCCUGAGAGGACAGGAAAAGAAAGAGGUGCCUGGACAGGCCCCUGUUCCACCACAUCCCCCCCUAUUGUCCCAGCUGCAGCUCCCAUCUGACACUACCAUAUGAGAGAUUGCGAGCCAGAGAUCCCAGCCAAGCCCUUCACAUAGAAAC
rnacentral:lncRNA from 1 species